rnacentral:misc_RNA from 1 species
AACGCACGAGACCUGCGGACCUGCGGAGGGAUCAUUAUAGAGUGGUAAACCCCCCGUAAAAGGGGGGGACCUCCUGUCCUUUGUAGGCUCUUUUUUAAAAGGGCUUUUUUUAAUUUUCUGCUUCGGUGGGGUUAUCCCACCGGAACAACCUCAAAACUCUUAUCAAAAAAUCGUUCUGUCUGAGAACCUUUUAUAAUAAAAAAAAACUUUUAGCAAUGGAUCUCUAGAUCGGAAGAGCAC